UGGGGAAUAUUGCACAAUGGGCGAAAGCCUGAUGCAGCAACGCCGCGUGAGUGAUGAAGGUCUUCGGAUUGUAAAGCUCUGUCUUUUGGGACGAUAAUGACGGUACCAAAGGAGGAAGCCACGGCUAACUACGUGCCAGCAGCCGCGGUAAUACGUAGGUGGCGAGCGUUGUCCGGAUUUACUGGGCGUAAAGGGUGCGUAGGCGGAUGUUUAAGUGAGAUGUGAAAUACCCGGGCUUAACUUGGGUGCUGCAUUUCAAACUGGAUAUCUAGAGUGCAGGAGAGGAGAAUGGAAUUCCUAGUGUAGCGGUGAAAUGCGUAGAGAUUAGGAAGAACACCAGUGGCGAAGGCGAUUCUCUGGACUGUAACUGACGCUGAGGCACGAAAGGCGUGGGUAGCAAACAGGAUUAGAUA
rnacentral:rRNA from 1 species